rnacentral:rRNA from 1 species
CCUACGGGGGGCAGCAGUGAGGAAUAUUGGUCAAUGGACGAGAGACUGAACCAGCCAAGCAGCGUGAAGGAUGACUGUCCUAUGGGUCGUAAACCUCUUUUAUCUGGGAACAAAACAGGGGACGUGUACCCGCAUGAAUGUACCAUAAGAAUAAGGAUCGGCUAACUCCGUGCCAGCAGCCGCGGUAAUACGGAGGAUGCGAGCGUUAUCCGGAUUUAUUGGGUUUAAAGGGUGCGUAGGUGGGUUGUUAAGUCAGCUGUGAAAGUUUGCGGCUCAACCGGAGCAUUGCAGUUGAAACUGGCAGUCUUGAGUACAGUAGAGGUAGGCGGAAUGCGUGGUGUAGCGGUGAAAUGCUUAGAUAUCGCGAAGAACUCCGAUUGCGAAGGCAGCUCGCUGGACUGCAACUGACGCUGAUGCUCGAAAGUGUGGGUAUCAAACAGGAUUAGAUACCCGUGUAGUC